rnacentral:rRNA from 1 species
AUGAACAUCGCACUCAUGCUGAGAUGGGUCUGGCGGAUCUUACGUGGUGAGGGUGGGCUCUGGCUACAGCUAAAUCAGGCAAAAUACCUUAGGGGUGAGCCUCUCCUGGCAUGUAACCGGCCGGGAGGCUCACAAUUCUGGCGAUCCAUCCAAAGGAUCAAGGAGGACAUAAGCUUAGGGAUCUACUUCUCCUUAGUAAAUGGGAACGGGAUCUAG